GACGAACGCUGGCGGCGUGCUUAACACAUGCAAGUCGAACGGAAAGGCCCUGCUUUUGUGGGGUGCUCGAGUGGCGAACGGGUGAGUAACACGUGAGUAACCUGCCCUUGACUUUGGGAUAACUUCAGGAAACUGGGGCUAAUACCGGAUAGGAGCUCCUGCUGCAUGGUGGGGGUUGGAAAGUUUCGGCGGUUGGGGAUGGACUCGCGGCUUAUCAGCUUGUUGGUGGGGUAGUGGCUUACCAAGGCUUUGACGGGUAGCCGGCCUGAGAGGGUGGCCGGCCACAUUGGGACUGAGAUUCGGCCCAGACUCCUACGGGAGGCAGCAGUGGGGAAUAUUGCACAAUGGGCGGAAGCCUGAUGCAGCAACGCCGCGUGCGGGAUGACGGCCUUCGGGUUGUAAACCGCUUUCGCCUGUGACGAAGCGUGAGUGACGGUAAUGGGUAAAGAAGCACCGGCUAACUACGUG
rnacentral:rRNA from 1 species